GACGAACGCUGGCGGCGUGCUUAACACAUGCAAGUCGAACGGAAAGGCCCUGCUUUCAGGGUACUCGCGUUGCGAACGGGUGAGUAACUCGUAGGUGAUCUGCCCUGCUCUUCGGCAUAAGCCUGUGCAGCUGGCUCUAACACCUGCUAGGUGCCAUUUUUAGUGUGAUGGUUGGAAAGUUUUUUCGGUGUGGGCUGAGAUUGCGGCCUAUCAGCUUGCUGGUGGGGUAAUGGCCUACCAAAGCGGCGGGGGGUAGCCGGACUGAGUGGGUGGCCAGCCACCAUGGGACUGAGAGGCGGCCGAGGUACGGACGGGAGGGAGAAGGGGGGAAGAUUGAACAAUGGGCGCAAGCCUGAUGAAGAGAGGCCGCGUGGGGGAUGACGGCGUUAGGGGUGUAAAACACUUUCGCUAGGGACGAAGCUUUUUGUGACGGUACCUAGAUAAGAAGCACCGGCUAACUACGUG
rnacentral:rRNA from 1 species